GGAAUUAUAUCAGUGCAAUAUGCUGAGAUUAGAGAUGACCAAAGAGGAUAUGCGCCCCCCAUUAUCUUCCCACCCUAGAGUUAAUAGUUCGGCUUAGGACAUUCCUAAAUUACAUCGAUAUAUUUUGAGAUAAAACAUCAUACCUUGGUGGCCAAGAUUGUCAUCACGUAUGAAGCAUAUAUGUAUUAAAAUUUUGGGGUCCAAUUUUGAGUUUGC
rnacentral:lncRNA from 1 species